ensembl:misc_RNA Metazoa_SRP Metazoan signal recognition particle RNA
GCUGGGUGUGGUGGCUCACACCUGUAAUCCCAGCACUUUAGGAGGCUGAGGUGGGUGGAUCACCCGAGGUCAGGAGUUCAAGACCAGCCUGGCCAACAUGGUGAAACCCCAUCUCUA